rfam:Mycoplasma sp. CAG:776 genomic scaffold, scf34
ACCAGUAACGAUAGCCUAGUGGAUACACCUCUUCCCAUCCCGAACAGAGAAGUUAAGCACUAGAACGCCGACGAUAGUGAUAAGCGAAAAUAGGAAGUUGCUGGUU